ACACCCCACCCUUCCCUCUUCCCACCAGCUCUCCAAAAACCCUUUUGCAGAUGGAGCUGUUCAAUUCCCAGAACCAGUCUGGAGCAACGAUUAAAAGACCAAAAUUCCAAGAACCCUUUUCCCCCUCCUUCUUUGCACUUUGGCAAACACGCUACACCAAGACCCAGUGAUUCAUUUAAGAGCGGCAGUCAUAACGACAGAAGAACUAAGGAUUCUGCUGGGAAUCAGGCCAGUCCUCAGAAAUGUGGUCAUUUGAAGGAGGAAGAUAGGAUUCUGGAACAUUCUCUAGCUCCUUCCACCAGCCAGCAAGAGCAUGCUUUUCCUCAGAGGCUCCAGCCCCACGCCUGACUCACAACAAAUACUGAGCAGGUAGCAUCAGAUGUGAGAUGUGAGAGCCAGCUCCGUCUUCCUGCACGGUUGGCCUUCCUGACUCUUCAUGUUAAGUCAAGUGGUCCCAAACCAACAUGGAACACAUGACCAGAUGUGACCCAAGAUCUCCCCAAAGUUAUAUGAGCACAGAAGGGUCCCCUGGAAGCAGGGCAGAGAGGACCAGAAGAACUUCCAAUGGUGACAUAUCACAUUGCUGCAUGAAACAGACCUACAGCAAGCCUCACUCGGUACCUCAUCAUCUACCAGGGUAGGACUCAUAAACAAAACUUUCUCGGGAAGCAUGCUGCUAUGCCUGGAAUGAUGACUCAGUAGUGGAGAACACUGUUUGCUUUUGCAGAGGAUCUGAAUUCAGUGCCCAGAACCCAGGUCAGUCAGCUCUUGACUGCCAGUAACUCCAGCUCCAACGACUCCAACACCCUCUUCUGGUCUCCAUGGAUACUCUCACACACCUGGCAUACACUUGUACAGACACAUACAGGUCAAUAAAAAAUUAAAAAAAUGAGUGAAUAUUUAUUUU
rnacentral:lncRNA from 1 species